UGCAAGUCGAGGGGUAUAGUAGCAAUACUAGAGACCGGCGCACGGGUGCGUAACGCGUAUGCAAUCUACCUUUUACAGAGGGAUAGCCCAGAGAAAUUUGGAUUAAUACCUCAUAGCAUUGCGGAAUGGCAUCAUUUUGCAAUUAAAGUCACAACGGUAAAAGAUGAGCAUGCGUCCCAUUAGCUAGUUGGUAAGGUAACGGCUUACCAAGGCAACGAUGGGUAGGGGUCCUGAGAGGGAGAUCCCCCACACUGGUACUGAGACACGGACCAGACUCCUACGGGAGGCAGCAGUGAGGAAUAUUGGGCAAUGGACGCAAGUCUGACCCAGCCACGCCGCGUGAAGGAUGAAGGCCCUAUGGGUUGUAAACUUCUUUUGUAUGGGAAGAAGCCCCCGAACGCGUUCGGGGCUGACGGUACCAUAAGAAUAAGCAUCGGCUAACUCCGUGCCAGCAGCCGCGGUAAUACGGAGGAUGCAAGCGUUGUCCGGAUUCAUUGGGUUUAAAGGGUGCGUAGGCGGAGAAUUAAGUCAGUGGUGAAAGCUUACAGCUUAACUGUAAAAAUGCCAUUGAAACUGAUUUUCUUGAGUUCGAUUGAGGUAGAUGGAAUGUAUCAUGUAGCGGUGAAAUGCUUAGAUAUGAUACAGAACACCAAUUGCGAAGGCAGUCUACUAAGUCGACACUGACGCUGAGGCACGAAAGCAUGGGGAGCAAACAGGAUUAGAUACCCUGGUAGUCCAUGCCCUAAACGUUGAUUACUCGUUGUUGGCGAUAUACAGUCAGCGACUAAGCGAAAGCGUUAAGUAAUCCACCUGGGGAGUACGAUCGCAAGGUUGAAACUCAAAGGAAUUGACGGGGGCCCGCACAAGCGGUGGAGCAUGUGGUUUAAUUCGAUGAUACGCGAGGAACCUUACCAGGGCUUGAAAGUUAGUGACCGCCGCCGAAAGGGUGGCUUCCCUUCGGGGCACAAAACUAAGGUGCUGCAUGGCUGUCGUCAGCUCG
rnacentral:rRNA from 1 species